UACACACAGGCACACACACACACACGCACACAGGCACACGCAUGCACGCGCGCACACACACACACACAGGCACACACACACGCACGCACCCGCCUGCUCGGCUGCGCUUCCGAGCUGCCUCAGCAAGGAGGAGCCCGGACGGAAAACACCAGGGCAGCAAGGAUUUGGAAGCAGAGUUCCUGGAGAAGGACCCUGGCAAUGAGUGCACGUUUCCCUGAAAGCUGAGGCUGUUUCUUAUUCCCUAGGAGACUGAGAAGAGAGGGGGCCCCGGAUGUCAGCCCAGUCUCCGUUUUUUAUUUGUCUCGACUUUGAGGCAGAUUUCCUCUUUCAGCUCUGGGAACUGACAGGUACAAUUCCUGUAGGCACCUUUGCAUGUCUCAUAAACAAGACCAAGGCCAAGAAGUUGAUAAGUCAGUGCUUUUCCUAGUUAACCAGCGGUUUGCCCUUCUAUUAAUUGCUAUUAGAAAGUUAACCUUGUAGCUCAGUUAUUGAAUAAUCAUUAAUCCAUGGAGGAUACACAAGCCCAAAGGUUAAUAAUAGGAAUAGCAAUUAAUAAUAUUGACCUUGCCAGUGGGAAGAGUAUUUUUGUCAUAGUUAUUAAAAGGCACUCCUAUUUGUACUGUGUACAGUGGUGCAAAUUUGGACCCAGUAUGCUGAGUACCAAAUUAAUGCAACAACACCAGAAAUUAAUUUACCCCAUUAUCUCCAUGUUAUCAGUCCUCUGACUUUUUCUCCCUUUAAAACAUAUCAUUCACUACUCUCAGUUUAGAUAGAAAUGCUAGGUCUUUAAUCAAUUCUGACAUUUCCACUAGAAAAUAACAUCAAGCUCACUUACACAGAUAAAAAUUUAUUUGCCUGCAGCUGAUUUGUUGUAGUGCUUUGGACCUAUUCAUUUCUCAGAGAGAAUUUAGCGUUCUAUGGUCUUUUGAUACUAUGGGGUAAUAAAUAGGAAAUCAGUACAAAGGGGACAUUCUCACUUUUAUAAGUCCAACUCCCCCCUCCCUAGAGCUGCCUCCUCACAGAGCUACUCAGACUGACUGACUGACUAACCUGCAUCUUCUGUUGUCAAAGAUCCAUCUCCUUUAUUUUGUAUCACAUUUCUGACUAGCUGGUCAGUAAGCCCUAAUAAUAAUCAUGUUUCAUGUCUCAGAAAUCUAAUAGUCAAGUUACUCAUUGUUACAAAUUGCAGCUAAGCUAUGUGGGUUAGUCGCGUUAUCCCUACUUUAAAGGCAGGGAAACUGAAACAGGAAAAUUAACACAUUUGCCUGAGGCUACACAUGGAUUUAAGAGCAGAUCCAGGACUGGAACUGAAUUUAGACCAAGCUCCCUCUUAAAGAUUCUUAAGUGUGCUAUGGAAAAUGCUUCUUUAAAAAAGAAAUGUAAUGUAAACCUUAUUUUUCAUCAAUUUUGUACAUUAGUCAAAAUACAUUUUUUUUUUUAGCUCACAUUUCCUUUUGUAAAGAUAAGAUUUAUCCAGCUUUAAAAAAAAAGUGUGGUGGUACCUUUCAAGUACAUAGGCCAGUUUACUUUGGAAAAAAAUAUUUAACAUGAGAUUGUGAGCAGUAAUGGGAACAGAAUUGCUUGUUAUUAGGCUACUGUAAACAAUAUUUUCUGAAUGUUACGGUAUAGUUACAGGUCAACAAAACAUAAUGAGAAGUCCAGCAUUAGUAUAGGUAAGGUGCUCUUGCUUACCUAGUGUGCAUCAGUUUUCACUAUAAUGCACUUUCAGUGCUUUCAGUAUCAAAAUACUUAGCAUGGGUCUAAACACUGAAAAACAUAUGGGACAACCAUAUAUUGUGUUUGAGAGUUAUGUACCAAGUCAUGUCAUUCAUGUCACUGAAGCAAGACAUAUAUUGCUUGCCCUUUAGCUGUGACAUGUCAUGAAAGCUGUAUGCUAUGACUGAGCACAGAUGGCAUGCCUAAAAAGCAGGCAUACAAUAUAACUUUCCUGUUACUGACACGUAGACAUUUCCUCUUCCUCAGUGUCCACCCCUAGAUGUUUGCUUGCCCAGCCUUCUACAGGAACUAUAGAAAGUCCUGCUCAUCCUGCUCUUCCCUGGUGCCUGGAAUUGUACAGUCAAAACCCUAUACAGAAUAAGUGUUGGCUUUUUUUUUUUUAAUUUUUUUUUAUUUAUGCUGACAGCUCCAUUCUGAGCAUUUUUAGAGUCCUGAUUUGAGGGAAGUGGGUGCAGAUCUCAUUCAAAUAGUCAUUCUCCAAUACCAUUAGCAUUACCUGCCAAAAAUGAAAGUGGCAUAUGAAUCACAAUAAGCUACUCAUAAAUUUGUGGAUUUAGAACCUGCCAAGGAAAGAUAUACAUGAGAUUUCAAAGUCCCACCAGUUGCAGGGACUUUGAAUAGUAUGUAAAAGUACGUUUAUCCAAAGGCCGUCUUAUUGAUGACCCAUUCUGUAAGGGUUACAGACAUAAGCGAUUCCAGGGAAGGGUAAUACUAACUGAAAAUAUUUCUGUUCUCAUCUUUCACUUACAAGUGAGAUAGUGAAAGUGAUGAAUCUGCUAAUUGUAACUAUGUCAGAGACCUUUCCUGAGGUGCUCCUUAUUGAAGUGCUACUGUGACUCUUGUGUGAGAAGAGCUUUAAAAUCCUCUGGGAAAUAUCCCAGUUGCUUUCCAGUUCCUUUCAGACAUGUAAAUAUCUUUAUGUUUAGACAUGAGUAGAGAGGGGUGGAAAACGAAGUUCAGCGAGGAGUAGAAUGGGGUUAAAAGCAUCCACGUAGAUCCAGGAACCAAAUAUAUACGUGUCUUUUUUUUUUUUUCUCUAUCUGAUGUUAGCUGGGAAAAUGAAAUGCUCAUUAUCAAGAAGAAACACUGCAUAAAUGUGUGGAUACUUGAGAUUUAUGUUUACCCAUGAUUGACAGAGAAGGCCAUCUUCUGCCUGAAAUUACAGAUGAGCAACAGAACUCUCAGUAAUGCUCAGAUACUUAUGUUGUUCUCAAGUAAUAUAUACAUUACCAAGUAUGGUUUGUUUCCAGCUCGUAGUAUAUGAAUAAUGCUAUAUGAGUGAAAAACACUACAUGCCACCUAGCAUGCCCUACGAUUGUUUGCUUUUUUCGUGGUUUGCUUUAAGCUAAGCACAUAAGAAACUGAAAAUAACAUUUGGGUCUUUUUUUCCUUCUUAACAUAAAAAACCCACAGCCAAGGUUUUGUAAACUAUUUAUAUGUUGUUACUUGUGAAACAUAACAAAGAAACCUGCAUACUAGCAUGGUCUACACAUAGAUGUCUCAGCUGGUUGUUGAAAUGUUAAGACGUGGUUUGAGUAACUGUGUUCCAACCGGUUAUAAGCAUUACCUGUUGUAGAUGAAAAUGGUAGUGAACAAAUACAACCAUGCAUUGUAGCCUUCUGUGCAUAUUUUAGGUGCAAGUGGCCAUUAUCAGCAGUACCUCAACCUUGUCUGGUGUUCCGUCUCGCUAUUGACUCAGUGGAAGGUAGUCAGACUUUUUCUGAAUGUAUCGUCAGGGUAUUUCUGCAGUCUUGAUUAUUCUACUCUUUGUUGGUUAGACACCAAUCUCCCAAGCUUAGGCCUAUGCCACCUCACUAUCUGAAUGUCUCUCCUGAAAAUUUGUUUUCUGAAAUGGGAAUCUUGUCAGUAAUAACAAAUUCAUCUGUCUCCAGACUGGCUUAAGUGUCCUCCAAUCACUUAGUGAAGACCUGUGUUUUCCAGCCUUGAUGCUACACAGUACCUCAGUCCAUUCAGCUUCUCUCCAAGACGGUAACUACUUUCUGUUCCACAUCUCACAAGAUCUUUGGAUUACUUAAAAAAAUAAGCUGCAUCCUGUAGAUUUCCUCUUAAAACUUCUCUUUAGGAAAAAAAUCAACUUAUUGUGCGUACAUCAGUGAUAUGAAACUCACUUCUGUUUUGUCUGACUGCUCUCUCCAUCUUCUGUCAGUCUAAAAAGUGCAAUUUUUUAAAGGAUUGAAGGAGUUAUAUUAAUAUUUGUGUGAACCAUUUUUCCUGCUCAUUGUCUGUUCUUCUUUUCUCCUUCCCCUCGGUGUCUGGUUCAUCUUGGCUGCUUUUAAAAAUUCUGUUGCCUCUAGUGAGGGACUGCCAGAUUAAACCAGUGAAGAGAAACCAGGUGACUGUCUACUUUUAUGAAUAUAGGUUGUGUAUAAUAAAUUCAGGUUUUACAUCUAUGCAAAUUAAAUCAUCAUAUGAUUCUGACUACAUGCAUUUUUUAUCAAAUAUGGCAUAUAUUUCAUGAAUUACAUUUCACUUGUAGUCAUGUUGCAAUUUUAAAUACCUAACUAGGAGUUACAAGGUGUGUCACUAGGUCUUGGUAAAUAGGUUUACAAACACAGAAGAAAUAGAAGAAAUUUACCUUUUUUCUUGUAUUCCUGGUAAGUUCAGUGAAAAAGUUUUUCCUGCUAUAGGUGAUAAUAUUAAACAUCUCACAUACUGUUUGUCUUUAGAGACAAAAAUACAUUUUGUUACUAGAAAUGUAGAGAUUUUGUAGGGGCCUAAACAGAACAUGGCCAGAAUGAGGAAGUUUUAAAGCAACAUGUCUUUGGUCUGGAGUUUAUAGCAUCUAGUUAGUAGGGCUUUUUGCUAAUGUUUCUAUCAUGGAGUGGAAGUCAAAUGUCAAAAUAAACUUUUUACUUCUGCAAAAUUAUAUAUUCACCUUGGGAAUAUUGUGAAGUGAAAAUAGGAUUUAGCAAAAUUCUUUCUAUGGGAUUUAUCGACAGACAGGGCAGUUUUAGUGUCAAGCCCUAAGCCUUGCAAUAUGAUUCCCAGCCAUAGGUGCACCAUACUUUGAAUAAUCAGUCUGUCAGCUGAGCUAUGACAAGGAUUAUGCUGUGAAGGUAACAACUCAAUGCUUUCCAUGUCAACUCUCUUUGGUAAUUGCUGCUGUUUUUUUCUUAAAUAAAAAGAUAUUUUGGUGACCACAAA